ACGGGAUUGCCUUUACUUCCGGAGUGUUUCCGUGUUUAUUAGUUUAGUUUGGGGACCAACUUUUUAGGAGAGCGAAGUUUUUUUCAGUAUUUGGAAGCGGAUAUUUUCUCCAACGUUUCGACUAGAGCCAAAGAAAAUCAAAAAAGGUGUCACCAUCUGGACAGCCCUGACAAAGUGCAGUUUUAUCUGAAUGGCCACAGCAGCAGAGGAUCCUCCCGGACUGCAGGAAACUUCUGGCAAUUCAGCGGGGGCCCGUAGACAUGCCUUUCCUGAUGGUCCAAGUACCUCACAGGCCAAUAAGAAAACUAUUGGCCAUCGUGGAAUUGAUCCCACAGGCGAAACUACUUACAAAAAGACCACUUCAUCAGCUCUAAAGGGAGCCAUCCAGUUGGGCAUCACACACACAGUUGGAAGUCUGAGCCAGAAACCUGAAAGAGAUGUACUGCUCCAGGACUUUGAAGUGGUUGAGAGCAUCUUUUUUCCCAGUGAAGGUAGUAAUCUGACACCAGCACAUCACUACGGAGACUUCAGGUUCAAGACAUAUGCCCCAAUCGCCUUUCGGUACUUCAGGGAGAUGUUUGGCAUACGACCUGAUGACUACAUGUAUUCUUUGUGCAAUGAGGAGCUGAUUGAGUUGUCUAACCCCGGGGCCAGUGGAUCCCUUUUCUAUGUGUCGAGAGAUGACGAGUUCAUUAUUAAAACUGUCCAGCACAAAGAAGCAGAAUUUUUGCAAAAACUACUUCCAGGGUACUUUAUGAACUUGAAUCAGAACAAGAGGACGUUACUACCAAAGUUUUACGGACUCUACUGUGUCCAGUCAGGGGGUAAAAACAUCCGUAUUGUGGUCAUGAACAAUCUGCUCCCAAGUGUUGUCAAAAUGCAUCAAAAGUACGAUUUGAAAGGCUCUACCUACAAGCGCCGAGCGUCUGCGAAAGAGAGAUCGAAGGCUGUACCAACAUUCAAGGACCUAGACUUUAUCCAGGAAAUGCCUGAUGGUUUGUUACUGGACGGAGAAACCUACAAUGCAGUGUGCAAGACCAUCCAGAGGGACUGCCUGCUUUUACAGAGUUUUAAGAUCAUGGACUACAGCCUUUUGAUGGGAGUUCAUAAUGUGAACCAGGCGAGUGAGGACGCUGGAGCAGUCGCUGUGGACCAGGCCAGACCCCAAGUCCAAAAGCCUCUGUACUGCACAGCACUGGAGGCUAUUCAAUCAGAGCCGACCAGAAUGGGGUCCAUGGACAUAGAGGACAAGACGGGAGGAAUUCCAGCAAAAAACUCCAAAGGAGAGCGAUUACUGGUGUACAUCGGUAUCAUUGACAUUCUGCAGUCUUACAGAUUGGCCAAAAAGCUUGAACAUUCCUGGAAAUCCCUAGUUCAUGAUGGGGAUACUGUCUCAGUGCACAGACCAAGUUUUUAUGCCGACCGCUUUCAGAAGUUUAUGUGUAACACGGUUUUCAAAAAGAUUGCAGGGAAAACUUCUCCAACAAAAAAGCGUCGUGCUGUAGGUUACAUUCCACUCAGAAAAGUCCCAGUCUUCCUGACACAGGCCAGCUCAGAGUCCAGAUCUGACCCUGAGGGCGAAAGCGGCAUGCACACAGGACGUCCUGACCUCCUCCCAAAAGCAUUAUCAAACAUCAACAGCUUAAGCAAGGCCACGGAACACACAGUCUCAAUCUCCCUGGAAAACACUGCGUCCUCUCAGCAAGAAGCAUCGUCUUUGGACCACAACAAGUAAGAAGAGCUCAGGCGGGGCCUUUAGAAGAAAGCCUUGGUGCAAUCUCACUGAGUGACGUAGUUCCUCAAAUGAACACCUGUUCAGUUUAGCUGUUGGACAAACAAAACAAACAUUUGAAUGUGGUCCAAGGUACUAACAGUAUAUUAUGAGGCAAAUAUUCUCUUGAGGAAAGCAUGCACUUUCCAGGUUUCCAGAUAUGUACUUGCUAUUUUCAUAUUUAGUAGAGAUUGUUGUGACACUAGAAUAAAUCCUGUUUUAUACUGUACACUACUCACACCAGUGUUCCCAACCUUAAGAUAAGGUUGUCAUUCCCUCAAAUUUACAACCUACACAUUGUUCACUUAAAACACGUCAUUAAUGACAUUAAUUCUGCAGUGGUAGGUGCACAUAACUAAGAUGUAUGAGUCUGGUACUGAUUGCCUAAGAUGAAUUAUUUAACUCCUGCUUUUUGUUUUAACACAUCUUAAGAUGUUAUUUUUGUAUGCAGAGAGAGAGAGAGAGACUGUUACACAAAGUUUGUCUGUGGACUUUUUUUUGUCUCCACCAGGUAUUCUUGAUUAACUUUUCCAGGUUAAUCUUUGGGUACAAAAUAUGCUGGAAAAAAGACUGCUGAGCCUUAAAUUUUUUUGACAAACUAUUAAGUCACCUUUAAGCUCAUUUUUAACUAUUAUUUGACACUGGGUCAGAGCGUUUUAUGUUUAUCUUAAUUUUAUAUCAUUUUAUUUGAUGUCAAUGUUGUUAGCAGGGCAGUCACCGGGUCUUAAAAGCAUUAAAAAAGUACUCAUUUUCAAAA